GAUGAACGCUGGCGGCGUGCUUAACACAUGCAAGUCGAACGGAAAGGCCCAAGCUUGCUUGGGUACUCGAGUGGCGAACGGGUGAGUAACACGUGGGUGAUCUGCCCUGCACUUCGGGAUAAGCCUGGGAAACUGGGUCUAAUACCGGAUAGGACCUCUUCUUGGAUGUUGUGGUGGAAAGUUUUUUCGGUGUGGGAUGAGCUCGCGGCCUAUCAGCUUGUUGGUGGGGUAAUGGCCUACCAAGGCGUCGACGGGUAGCCGGCCUGAGAGGGUGUACGGCCGCAUUGGGACUGAGAUACGGCCCAGACUGCUACGGGAGGCAGCAGGGGGGAAUAUUGCACAAUGGGCGCAAGCCUGAUGCAGCGACGCCGCGUGGGGGAUGACGGCCUUCGGGUUGUAAACUCCUUUCGCUAGGGACGAAGCGUUUUGUGACGGUACCUGGAGAAGAAGCACCGGCUAACUACGUG
rnacentral:rRNA from 1 species